rnacentral:rRNA from 1 species
UGAAUACGAGAUGCUACGGCAUCGAAGCAGUCUAUGUCAUACUUCCAAGAAAAGCUUGCACUGUCAUAAACAAAUAAUGCCUGUACCAUAACCGACACAGGUGGGUAGGUAGAGUAUACUAAGGGGCGCGAGAUAACUCUCUCUAAGGAACUCGGCAAAAUGACUCCGUAACUUCGGGAGAAGGAGUGCCUUAUUUUAUAAGGUUGCAAUAACAAGAUCCAAGCAACUGUUUAUCAAAAACACAGGUCUCCGCUAAGUCGUAAGACGAUGUAUGGGGGCUGACGCCUGCCCAGUGCCAGAAGGUUAAAGAAGUUGGUUAGCAUUAGCGAAGCUGAUAACUGAAGCCCUGGUGAACGGCGGCCGUAACUAUAACGGUCCUAAGGUAGCGAAAUUCCUUGUCGGGUAAGUUCCGACCCGCACGAAAGGCGUAAUGAUUUGGAUACUGUCUCGGAGAGGGGCUCGGUGAAAUAGACUUGUCUGUGAAGAUGCGGACUACCUGCACCAGGACAGAAAGACCCUAUGAAGCUUUACUGUAACUUGAGAUUGAAAUUGGACUUUAUUUGCGCAGUAUAGGUGGGAGACGUUGAAAAUAUUCUUGCGGGAAUAUUGGAGUCAUCAGUGAGAUACCACUCUUAUAAUGUUAGAUUUCUAACUUUGUAUCAUUAUCUGGUCAAAGAACAGUCUCAGGCGGGCAGUUUGACUGGGGCGGUCGCCUCCCAAACGGUAACGGAGGCGCACAAAGGUUUCCUCUGAACGUGUAGAAAUCGUAUCUAGAGUGUAAAGGCAUAAGGAAGCUUGACUGUGAGACCUACAAGUCGAGCAGGGACGAAAGUCGGUCUUAGUGAUCUGACGGUGCUGAGUGGAAAGGCCGUCACUCAACGGAUAAAAGUUACUCUAAGGAUAACAGGCUGAUCUCCCCCAAGAGUUCACAUCGACGGGGAGGUUUGGCACCUCGAUGUCGGCUCAUCGCAUCCUGGGGCGGUAGUACGUCCCAAGGGUUGGGCUGUUCGCCCAUGAAAGCGGUACGCGAGCUGGGUUCAGAACGUCGUGAGACAGUUCGGUCCAUAUCCGGUGUAGGCGUUAGAAUAUUGAGAGGAGCCUUCUUUAGUACGAGAGGACCGAGAAGGACAUACCUCUGGUGUACCAGUUAUCGUGCCAACGGUAAACGCUGGGUAGCUAUGUAUGGAGAGGAUAACCGCUGAAAGCAUCUAAGUGGGAAGCCCACCUCAAGAUAAGUAUCCU